UUCCACAGCUGCAGGAGGAGGAGGAGGAGAGGAGCUCCUUCUUAGCAGAUGGGCUACGUUGACUGAACUUCGCCGUGAAGCACUGUUGUCCCAUUUCAUCUGCCUGUCACUAGGAUUUUUGAGAUGAUGUGAAAAAGUUGAAUUCCAUCGGACACAUUCAAAAUCCUUGCUGAUUUGUUGACAUUCCCAGUUGUCCAGGUGGCAACAGCGACAUAUUCCAAGGCACAUUUGUCACAAGAGCCCGCUGCACGAGGGCCGAGCAAACAGAGGGGGACCCCGGGCAGCUUGUGGGGCCAAGAAAAGGGCUUUUGCGGUUUUGAAACAAAGCAACUCAGCAAUCUACAAAUAUCCCUUGAUAGGCAGGUGGCUUCGGUGUCCCCUACCUUGCUCAGGUUGGUGCUACCUCUUAAGAAACCGAGGGACCAGGUGAGGACGAGUUGAGCAGACUUCUUACUGCAGGUGGGCCCUAGGUCCUGGAGUGUGGCACCUGGUGACAGGCUCCUGCCUCCAACCGCAGUGAACACUGAAUCCGUAAGACUCCAGCUGACCCUGCUCUGUCUCCAAGCAGAUGCUCCGAAGUGCACACACACACACACACACACACACACACACAAUGCCGUUUCCUAAUUGAAUCUAAAAUGUAAGUGCUUUGCUGUUUAAAAGGACCUUGCUAUCUUGAUAAGAAAAACUAAUGAGAUGCCCUUUCCAGAGCCGGUCACACAAUAGCCCUAGUGACAAGGACCCCUAUCAAGAAAUAAAGCAGAAGAUAAAUGAGAUUUUUCUAAUAUCCAUUUCACCCAUUGUUCACAAGUGUCAGGCAGUACGGAUUCUAUUUGUCAUGGGGUAGGAGAGAGGAGACGUGCUUUUGUAAAGCAAGCCUAAAUUGUGGCAUCGCAUUUUCGGCCAUGGGUAAACCUCUUUUGUCACCUGGUAGAAAACAAAAGCAAGGCUUGGGAUUGCAGGGCAGAGACUGGAAGGUGUCCACAUUUCUGCAUUUUUUACCUCAGGGCUGCCAAUGCACAAGAAGUGAUCAUUUGGAAGACAGGGGAGAAAGAGAUUAUUUCUGACUCUGGACUAUAGGAGUCUACUACUUGUAACCCAUUAAAUUGUCACUGUGUCAAAUGUUCAAAAUGCAAAUGGAGACUAGGAAGUUGUCCCUUAAGACGGAUGCAACUUAGAUUGUUCAGAAGCUACAUUAAGACAAAAAGGUAGAUACAGAAGUUCAAUUUCAGGUCUAGGAGAAGGUUGGGUAUGUUUAUAGGAGCUCCCGGUGCUCUUCUCUCUAGAAUAGGGACUCCACAGGGUUCAAUACCUAUGUUGUUCCGUAAGAUGCAUGAUUAAUAAACGAGAGCCCUGGACAAAAUUAUCCGGUAGAAACCAAGGAAAGAUUUAAAUCUCUGUGGUCCGACUUUGCACAAAUUUGCAUUUAUAAGAAUGACAUAACUGUCAGUAAUCUGACCCUGCAAAGGGCCCACGCAAGUGAGAUGCUGAAAGGCUCAUAUGUCCUGUGCUGUUCAGCAUUACAGUGAAGGAAGCCCUGUGAUGGUUAAAACAUUUUUUAAUAUUUUACAUUUCAAGAGAGAAUUUCCUAAUCUGCAGACUCAGAGGGCUGUGGCGGCUCCAAUUCUCACAACUGCUGUUUACUGCGGAUGCAGAUGAGGAAUGUCCUUGUUCUUUGAGAGGGGGAGCGGCAGCGGGGCUGGCUGAGAGGCAAUCCACGUGGAGUGACAGGCCUGCUGGGGGUCUGGGGAUCUCAACACGCACCCCUUCCCUGGCUUCCGGGGUCUAAGCAGAGAGGGCGGGCCUCCACCUGCACCCCUGCUGGACCCACUGGGAAAAAGGAUGAUUUUGAGCCAAUGUUAAUUUACUCUUCUGGGAACUUUUACUCUUCCCUUUGCUAUUUUUAGAGGAAGUCUGCAUUUUUAAAAUAAGCAUUUCUUCUCCAAGAUUCUCACAUAUUUUCAUAUUAUGAGUGCCCUCUAACACUGUAGAGAUAAGCAUAGGGGGAGGGGGACAACACAAAUGCUAUCUUCUAACAGAUUUUCCUUUUCAAAAGAGCUAAAGAAAAUGCACAAAGGAUUCAUUUGCAUUUCAAUAAACACUUUCUCUCUCUAGUUGUUUCUGCGCUAGAAAGACAUCCUCAGUCUGGCUGUGACAUCAUUAUUUAAAGCAGGCAACCAUGCCACACUCUCCAUCCGCUCAGUAGUGUCCAUUUUAAGGUAAUCUGAGUUUGACUUUGGGACUUUGUUGGAGAAAAGAUUGAUAGAGUGGUAUGGACGGUGUGACCUGUCUGAAGUCCCUCUUGCUCCAACACUAUAAUGACAAAAUAACUGGGCAAUACUGGUGAAGGAGAGAAACUUGCCUCAGAUGAUAAAUAGGAAAAUCAACAAUCUCGGGGCUUGUAAAUAUCCUUGCCAAGGCAAGAGGAAUCCCUUCUUUCCGCUCUUCCAUCUGUGUCUAGCAGGCUUCCUGUUGUCUUUUCUUAUUCCAGGAUGGUCUUGGUUGACUACUGAAUAAAUGAAUGAAGAAUCAAUCAUUUGCUGACCACCUACUGUCAGGUCUUUACUAGGCACUCAGAAUCAGAAAUAAAAGCAGUGUCCUUCCUCUCAAGGGGUUUAUGAUCUCGUUUGAAAGCUUAUUAAAACAAACAGCAUGAAAAAUUAUGAUAGCAGAUAACAUAGAAUGCCUCGGGAGAACAAGGAGGGAGACCUACUACAGCCUGAGGGAUUCUGAGUUGAGUUUUGAUAUCUGUUUUAACCCGCUUUUAUCCGAAAAUGAUAAUGGGGGUAGGGGUGAGGGAUGUGGGAGAGCUAACUGAGAUAAAGAGAAAUUUGUUUAAAAUCUCUUUCGCAUUUCACCUACGGAAAGAAGGAAAAGAAUUCUUAGUGUGUUUCUAGACACUGCCAAGUUAAGCAUAUUAUUAUGAAGUUUAUGUGAAGCAUAUAUUAGGAAGUUUACUUCCUAGGAACAACAUGACAAAGUGCGGUAUUACUGCCACUUUUACAGACGAGGAAACUGAGACUAAGUCACUUGUCUAAGGUCACUCUAGAAGUGGAGUUACCUAUUUAAAUCUUGGUCUAUCUGUACACAAGGUCUAUCAUUUUUUUUUCAUGAACGCAUGGUGCCUCCUAAAUAAAAAUAUUAUUGUUGAUCAGGUAAGACUAUGGAAAGUUGGUGAAAUUUCAGAUUUUUCUUACUGGAAUGUCCAGUAAGGCAUGACUAUGACUGGUGUACCACAAAUUCUCAGUGGCGUAGUUUAUAUUCUAUGCAGAGAGAUUCUGAAACUUUUCUUUUUCCCUAAAGAAGGUACAUCAUACUCAUGUAAGUCAUUCUGACUUAUCACCAGUCAGAAUGUCUUUGCUUCUCAUAGCUAAGUAGAUGGGACUGGGUGGCAGUGGGUAGAGUGCAGAAGAAAAAGAAGAGGGCUGAGGGGUGGAGCCAUCCAUUGCCAUAAUUGGGCCAACAGACUUAUGCAAUGAAUAGUGAAAGUAGAAGGAAAGUGAAGCCAAAGAUUUUGUAAUAUGUUUAGGCAAUUAAAUUUCUUUGUUUCUCUGUUUCAUAGUUUAGUAAAUAAUACAAGAAUGAUAGCAAGAUGCAUUGAUUUAUCCACCAAAUUGCAUUCUGACAUCCAUUCAUUCAUUCGUUUGUCAAAUAUUUAUUGAGUGCCUAUUAUACUAGUCUUAGAAAUUCAGAGAUACAAGAAAUGAUUCCUGUCCUCAAGGAACCCAUAGAACUGUUAAGACCACCAUGUAAAUAAGCCACUAUAUAAUCAUGUGAUCCUUGCCAUGAUACAGGAAGAAAGAGAUUUCUAUGGAAGUGUGCAGGACAGACCCAAAUCUCUCCUGGCUGUAGGUGGAGAGGAAGGGGAUAAUGGAAGAAGGCUUACUACAGGGGCAUGACAACUGGGGAAGUUCUGAUGUAUGAGUAAAAGAUUUGGGUAGCAAAAGGGGUAGGAUGUGGGAGAAAGUAUCCCAGCCAAAGGGAACCAACAGUAGGAACAAAGGUGAGAAAGGCAAUGAUAUCUUCAUAGAAUUGCAAAAAUGAUUGAAGCCAAGAAUUUAUUGAAUAUCUACUAUGGUCAAAAUACUGUUAGGGCACUAAGAUUGUAUCUUAGGGCACUAAGAUACAAUGAAAUUUUCACUCUCAACAUGUUUAAUAUCUUAUUGGAGAGACAGUUAUACAUAACGGCGUAAAUAAAAUAAAAUAAAAUAAAAUAAAAAAUAAAAUAAAAAAGACAUGACAAAAAAUAGUGUUAAAAAGGGGGCGAAAGCAACAUGCUCUCAGUACAGGAGAAGCAGUGAUUAGUUAAGGGAUCUUGAAAGGCUUUUUGGAAGAGAUGACAUUUGAAAUAGGGCUUGAACGAACGAUGAACAAGCUUUUAACAGACAGUAUCAGAAGAAGAUAUUCCCAGUAGCAAGGAGAGGGUGCACAAAGACAGGAAGGUGGGACCCUUUCCAGGAAUGGAAGCUAUUCCUGUGGAAUAGAGGACAACACACACAGGACAGGUAGUGACAGAUGAACCUGGCCAUGUUGACUCCAUCCCCUCUCAUUGAAAGUCUCACUCUCAUUGACUGUCCCUAGGAAUCUCAUUUGCUUGGUCUAGACAACAGGGGAAGUCCUCAUAAUUGGAAGCUGACUCUUGGAAAAAUCAGUUGCCGAAGUAAAAUAAAUUCAUAUUUUAAUUUGGUAACUAUGAGAAACUGUACAAGAAAAAAAAACAUUAUCAAAUGUUUACUGGGGACUGCCUAGAGCCCUUUCAUCAUUGAAAUAAUAUUUUUCAAUGAUUUUUUUAUAUAUACAUAUAUCAGGGCGAUUAAAAUCCAUUUGCCAUAAACAUUGUUUGAACAAAGUUGAAGGGAAAGUGGUAAAAAGAAAAAGAGUGAACUUAUCAUUUGCAUCAAUGCUUUGUGGAAAUAAUGAUCUCUAACAUUUAUAAAACUCUCUAAAUGUUCAUUUUAUAUUUAGUUUCUUAAAAGGUAGGAACAUUUUCAAAAAGACACAAGUCCUAUAAAUUGUGACCACUAUUUCAAUACCCAAAGAGGGGAAUCUCAAGAGGUAUGGUAAGUUUGUGGUACAGCCCAGACCAGAAAAUAUUCCACAGUAUGCCUAUGCCACAAGCUGACAAUAGUACUAGCUAUUAAAAACACUCAAAAUGCAUAGGCUAUUCAAUUGCUUAGAAAGAAUUUCAUAAUGUCUGUGCUAAUCACACAAUCCAGAGCAACUGCACAUAUAUCUAGGAUUUAUCUUAGUCUGUUUUCUCAUGAUCAUAAAGCCAGAGUCUGGUAUUACAAGGUCUCUUUUGGAUUUCUCCAGGAGUAAAACCAAGAACCAAAGAGAAUCUUUCCAUCCACACAUGAACCAGCUCUUCAGGCCUUAAAGAGAAUUCUAUGCUUAAAGAAAGAAUUUGGUCCAGAAAGCAUAGGGAAUUUUGUCCUUUGCCAGUAGGUCCUGACUUGCUCUGAGGCAGAUGCUGUAAUCAGGCACCUAUUUUCACCGUAUACUCCUAAUAGCAACUUCUUAGUGAGCACCUACUUCCAGAACCUUAUGUAUCCUAAUAGCAAUGGAUACCCUCCAACAUGAGUUAGAUGCAAUGAGAAUUGGCCUCUAGAUGGGUAUUUCUCUAAAAUGUUUCUUUUCUAUUAAUGUCUCAAGUAGAGAAUCUGGAACUGAUCUCAUUUAUGGCAUUUAUGAUCUUCCAGUAGAUAUUGCACAAAUUAUUCUACAAUUCCACACUCUAUUAUUGUACCACAACAUGACCAUUUACCACUCACUUAUAAAUGAAUGAAUGGAUGGAUGAGUGAGUGAAUACAUGCAUUCACAUAGGAAUUCUUUAAUGCAAGAAGUCUUCAGUGGUGAGAUUAACUAUAGGCUUGGAGUAGAGGAUACUUGCAAUGAACUUCAGACACAGAAGCCAAGAGGAUCCAUGGAUUUAUAGAAGCCUGGGCCCUUCAGUAAUCAAGAGUGUCAAUGAUGCUCCUCCAGUUGCAAUAACUUGCAUAAACGAAAGAAAACAGUAUGGUGGGCAUUUUAUUCUAUGUACCAGGACGAUGUUGGCAACAUUUUUUACAAUAUUUAAAACAUAUUCCACUCUACCCAUGUCAGUGCCCUUAAUUAAACUGAGUAUUUCUUCAUAUUCUCUUUUUGAUGAACUAUUCAUAAAUUGAUCCAGAGGACAGACCACACAUAAUAACCUUAUGAUUUUUCUUUUCUUGUUUUUUUAAAGAAGUACAAUUUCUAACUAUUAUUGAACUUUGUAAAUAUGAUGCUUAUUUUUAAGACCUCAGAAAUUUUACUUACCCUCUCUAUUCAGGGUGUGGAAUUUAGUGUAGCUGCAAUAAAGAGGUUUCUGAUGUAAGGGACCAAAAUGGGCCAGAGUUUUCUAUUCAGAGAUCUCAUGGCAAGUUCAACUCAUUUGAGACUCAGUGAUAAAUUUAAAGGUGAAAUCAGAUUUUUCAUAUAACCAUUGUGAUCACAACCCAAUGAGGAAGAGCAUGUUUCCCAGUUAUAUUUGCCAGGCAUUCCCUGGGUUGAGGUAGUGAAGCAAUGACAUAUCAGAGUCUGGAAAGCCUUGGGUUCUCUAACUUUUGAGUUGAAGCCUCCCAAGUUCUUCUCUAACCACCUGUUACAAGAGCCAGGGCUAAUCUGGAUGUUUCUCCCCUGCUUUGAGGAAAAUGAAAGGUCAAAGGCAAUGCCCACAAGAUGUAUUAUUCUUUCUGUGAUGGUCAGGGAGGAAGUAUGGUGCUGGGAAAAUUGCACUGGCCUGGGAUCUAGGAAGAUCAGGUGGGGUUCUAGUCCCAGUCUUCAAUGAAUAAAUAUGUUAUCUUCUGCUGAAUAUCUCUGCCUGGGAUUCUGGGACAAUACAGCACAUUUUGAGGGGUUAUGGUGAAUUCCUAUGGGAUGCAGACUAUAAUUCAACAUUUACAGCUUUCCCUUACUAAUUUACCAGAGGUGGGUCAUUCAUGUGGUACAAUGGAGAAAAGUGGAUCCUACGGGGGCCAGGACACUGGGUUCCAAUGCAAAUGCAAUUAGCUACAAGCUCUGUGUCUAUUGGAACUUUCUGAGGCCCGGUUCCCUCAUGUACACACCUAUCAUGGUAUCUACCACACUUUCCAUCCAGAAAGUCUUUCAAUUUGUAGAUAUUGUUGAUGUGUUCCACCUAAAUCUCUUCCCUAGAAAGAGGUACAUUUUAAAACUCAUAUCCUAAUAUGAAAAUAACACUUGCUUCUCUUUAUCCCAAUAAUUCCAUUGCCACAUGUGCAAAUGUCUCACAAGUCUGAGUUUCCAGAAUUUGGUGAACCACACCCCAUCAUCAUCUUGCUUACAGAUUAUCUUCACAGGGAAGGUCUUUUUGACAAUAGAUAUACUUAAAUUAUUGACUCUGUGAUGUUAGGGUAAGGAAUCUUAAGCAAUGAGGAUUUCCAUUUUCUCAGAAAUUGGUAAGAAACUGGCUAUUGGGCACCUAAUGGGUUAUUGCUAGUAAGUAUGGAUACGACUUCCAUGUUUGUCCUUGGUGACGGUAGAGGAGGUUGAGGGUGCCAUAUUUCCAUAGCAUAUUUUUUUUUUCAACUUAAAUUGCUCAAUGGAAUAAACACACAAUUAUUGUGAUGCAGCUCACUGACUUUCUCUGAAAUGAUAUACUCUGCUGUAGCAUGGGGCUAUUAACAUAAUAGAAAUGUGAAUCUGAUUUUAGUGCUGAACUCAAGGCUACUUUAGAAUGUAGAAAGAAAAAUGUUAAUAUAUGCAGCAGAAGGUAUUUUAAAUAAAUAUCUGUCAUAUAUAGUUAAACUUGUGCUUCUCUGGUGUUAAUUAUGGCACAAUCAGAAGAGAAUAGAGAGGAAGAUAUUUAUUGCAGGUUGAAAAGCCAAAUAUUAGCUCUGUGACAAAGUAAGUCAAAUGAAGUAGCAAUUAUAUAUUGUUUUGAUCAUGGAGGGAAUUCUUUAAAACAGAUAUUUUCUUGUGUAUAUGUUAUUGAUCAAAAGGGAAUAAUUCAAAUAAAAACUUUGACUAAUUGGCCAUUAAGAUGGUAUUUUUGAAGUGUUAAAACUCCAUUCUUUUAGGUUCUUUGCUGUAUUUCUUAUGUGAAAAAUAUUCCCACUCGAUAAUCAUUCCUUCAGGGUACUUGUCAUAUAUAUUUCUGUUUCAAUGGACCCAAAGAGGCCCAAGGAAAAAGGAAAAAAAUGUUUCAAAUAAAUAAUAGGCAUUCUUAAAACAUUAGUUUUCAGAAAUUAUAUUAUCAUAGUCACCACGCUGACCCCUAAGAAGGAAGGACCUAGAGGUCACAUGGAUAGUAUCUGUUAACCAACUAAGUAACUACCUUGUUGUGGGCAGAAUCUGAAGAAAAUAAUGUCUAAAAAUCUUUUCAUAGGCAUGUAGAAUCUCUCCUACAUAAACAUUUUUUAUUUUGCUAAUUAUUUAGAGAGAACUUGGACAUGUUUAUUUCUCAUGUUGUGGCUUCUGAGGAGAACAGAUGGAGAGGUAAAACUAUAUGUAUGUAUACACAUACAUUCAUUCCCCCUCUACACAUAUCUCUCUUUUUUAAAAAAAGAUUUUAUUUAUUUAUUCAUUAGAGACACAGAGAGAGAGAGAGAGAGAGCGGCAGAGAUAGAGGCAGAGGGAGAAGCAGGCUCCAUACAGGGAGCCUGAUGUGGGACUCGAUCCUGGGACUCCGGGAUCAUGCCCUGGGCCAAAGGCAGGUGCUCAACCACUGAGCCACCCAGGCUUCCCUCUACACAUAUCUCUUAAAAACAAAGAUUUUAUAUAACUCACAGUGCUUAAAGGAAGAACGUCUGUCUCCUUCCCUAAGAUGUACAGAGUUAAUCUAGAAUUAAAGGAAUAAAACACCAAAGAAAAAUUCAAAGAGAUAAACCCUGCCGUGGGAUAAGAUUAGAAUGUGGAGUGGCCCCCUGGAAGAAACAUUGAUGAACCAGUACAUGGGACCUCCCACAGAGGAAGGGAAAUGGGCUUGGAAUGAUUAUUCUGAUAUGUUUGAGAACUGGACUUUAAUAAGGAUUCCUUUUAGCAAGAUCUGAAAUGAGUUUUUGAAUCAUUCACAUGUAAUUUUUUUUUUUUUUUACUUGCAGGAUGAGAAAUAAAUGAAGGAGCUACUUCCACUCGGGGCAACUGGACAAUUUGGGAACUUGGUCAAAGGAAUCAAGGGAGAAGUCACAUUGCAUUGCACCGGAACGAUCUCCACUUCCAGGAAUACAGUAGGAUUGCUCUGCUUUGCCUCUUGGAUCAGAGUGGGGUGUGUCACUUGCUUUGAACAAUGGAAUGUAAGCAGAAGGGAAACAUGUGCCUACUAGUUUAAUUGCUGACACACAGGUCUUUGUUCAUCACUUCUGCUCUGUGGUCUUCAGGGAAGCACAUGCUAAUACGAAGGUGCUGUAAGGGUUACCUGGAAUGCUCACCUGACACAUGGAGGGUCACUGUCCUGGAGGAUCACCUGGAUCCACAGAAGACUUUGGCUGGGCAAGAAAUGUACUUUGGUUGUGCUAAAUGUCUAAGAAUUUGAAGAUGUUUACUACUGCAGCUUAACCUAGCUUAUCCUAAUAGAAGCUAAAACCCCAAUUAAGAAGGGAUAUUUGCAGUUGGGAUGUUAUUUACUUGCAAAAUACAGAAAAAUCAGUUGACAAAGUACUACAAGCAGUAUAAUAAUUCAGUAAACUGUCUAUUGAGAAAUUGAUAUGCAGAAUGAAGAGCCUUCAUACAUAUGGCCAACCAUAAAUAUAAAAGUAUGGUAGAAGAAAAAUCUCUAUUUCCAAUCACAGCCCCAAAUUGAAAACAUACCUAUGAAUAUAAUUAAUGAGGCAUGCGCAUAAUAUAUAUAAAGAAAAAUUUAAAACAUUUCUAAAGAACUCAAAAGAAAACUUGAAUGAAUAUAAAAACACGUCAAGUUCUUGGCUAGGAAGACAGGGCAUCAUAAAUAUCUAAGAAUCUUCUUAGGUUAAUUUGAAAAUUCUCUGUGAUGCAAUUGAAAUGGCAAGAUAAGCUUAUUUCAGAGUACAUAAUGUAAAAUAAAAAGCAAGAAAUCCGGGGAAAUUUGAGGAAAGCAGAGAAACAGAAAAUAUGCUGGCUAGGACUUACUAAAAUGUAUUACAAAGCUAUGAUAACUAAAAACUGGUGAUUCUGGCAAUUGAAUAGGAAGACAGAGAGUUGGAACAGAGUUUAGAAAUUUAGAAAUAAGCCCAAAUACAUAUAAAGUUUUAUUAUAUGAUAAAAUGGUAUUUGAAAUCGGUGGGAAAAGAGGUAAUAGUUAUUAAGCAACAGAUGGAGAGGUGUAUCAUGCAAAUAUCACAUCUUUACCUCACUACUUACACAAAUACACACGGUAGAGAAGUCUAACUGUUGGAGGUUAAACAAAUCUAAAGUCAUUAAGAUACUAGAAAAACCAAUAAUCUCCGAGUUAGAAAAUUCUUUCUAAUGUAACACAAAGCCUAGAAGAUCUAAAAGAUUGAAAUGAAAAAUCUAGUUACAUAAAAAUAAGAACAUUUUCUAUGUGACCAAAAAAAAAAAAAAAA
rnacentral:lncRNA from 1 species